rnacentral:rRNA from 1 species
GUGAGGAAUAUUGCGCAAUGGAGGCAACUCUGACGCAGCCAUGCCGCGUGCAGGAAGAAGGCGCUACGCGUUGUAAACUGCUUUUAACCGGGAAGAAACCCCAGGACGUGUCCUGGGUUGACGGUACCGGAGGAAUAAGCACCGGCUAACUUCGUGCCAGCAGCCGCGGUAAUACGAAGGGUGCAAGCGUUAUCCGGAUUCAUUGGGUUUAAAGGGUGCGUAGGCGGAGCGUUAAGUCAGUGGUGACAUCCUGCAGAUUAACUGUAGACUUGCCAUUGAUGCUGGCGCUCUUGAGUGCGCUUGAAGUGGGCGGAAUGUGCCGUGUAGCGGUGAAAUGCUUAGAUAUGGCACAGAACACCAAUUGCGAAGGCAGCUCACUAAGGCGAUACUGACGCUGAGGCACGAAAGCGUGGGGAUCGAACAGGAUUAGAUACCCUAGUAGUCC